rnacentral:rRNA from 2 species
GCCAUGCGGCGUGCCUAUACAUGCAGUCGACGAACUCUGGUAUUGAUUGGUGCUUGCAUCAUGAUUUACAUUUGAGUGAGUGGCGAACUGGUGAGUAACACGUGGGAAACCUGCCCAGAAGCGGGGGAUAACACCUGGAAACAGAUGCUAAUACCGCAUAACAACUUGGACCGCAUGGUCCGAGCUUGAAAGAUGGCUUCGGCUAUCACUUUUGGAUGGUCCCGCGGCGUAUUAGCUAGAUGGUGGGGUAACGGCUCACCAUGGCAAUGAUACGUAGCCGACCUGAGAGGGUAAUCGGCCACAUUGGGACUGAGACACGGCCCAAACUCCUACGGGAGGCAGCAGUAGGGAAUCUUCCACAAUGGACGAAAGUCUGAUGGAGCAACGCCGCGUGAGUGAAGAAGGGUUUCGGCUCGUAAAACUCUGUUGUUAAAGAAGAACAUAUCUGAGAGUAACUGUUCAGGUAUUGACGGUAUUUAACCAGAAAGCCACGGCUAACUACGUGCCAGCAGCCGCGGUAAUACGUAGGUGGCAAGCGUUGUCCGGAUUUAUUGGGCGUAAAGCGAGCGCAGGCGGUUUUUUAAGUCUGAUGUGAAAGCCUUCGGCUCAACCGAAGAAGUGCAUCGGAAACUGGGAAACUUGAGUGCAGAAGAGGACAGUGGAACUCCAUGUGUAGCGGUGAAAUGCGUAGAUAUAUGGAAGAACACCAGUGGCGAAGGCGGCUGUCUGGUCUGUAACUGACGCUGAGGCUCGAAAGUAUGGGUAGCAAACAGGAUUAGAUACCCUGGUAGUCCAUACCGUAAACGAUGAAUGCUAAGUGUUGGAGGGUUUCCGCCCUUCAGUGCUGCAGCUAACGCAUUAAGCAUUCCGCCUGGGGAGUACGGCCGCAAGGCUGAAACUCAAAGGAAUUGACGGGGGCCCGCACAAGCGGUGGAGCAUGUGGUUUAAUUCGAAGCUACGCGAAGAACCGUUACCAGGUCUUGACAUACUAUGCAAAUCUAAGAGAUUAGACGUUUCCCUUUCGGGGACAUGGAUACAGGUGGUGCAUGGAUUGUCGUCAGCUCGUGUCGUGAGAUGUUGGGU